CUGGUCUCAGAUAGCCAUGCAUGUCUCAGUAUAAUUCUAUACGGCGAAACUGCGAAUGGCUCAUUAAAACAGUUAUAGUUUAUUUGGUGGUCAGCAAUUACAUGGAUAACCGUUGUAAUUCUAGAGCUAAUACAUGCGCCCAAACCCGACUUCGUGGAAGGGUUGUGUUUAUUAGAUACAGAACCAACCCAGGCUCCGCCUGGCCUUGAGGUGAUUCAUAAUAACCGAACGAAUCGCAUGGCUAUGCCGGCGAUAGACCAUUCAAGUUUCUGACCUAUCAGCUAUCGUCGGUAGGGUAUUGGCCUACCGUGGCAAUGACGGGUAACGGAGAAUUAGGGUUCGAUUCCGGAGAGGGAGCCUGAGAAACGGCUACCACAUCUAAGGAAGGCAGCAGGCGCGCAAAUUACCCAAUCCUGACGCAGGGAGGUAGUGACAAGAAAUAACAAUACAGGGCAUACAUGUCUUGUAAUUGGAAUGAGUAAACUUUAAAUCACUUUACG
rnacentral:rRNA from 1 species